rnacentral:tRNA from 1 species
GGUUGGUUAGCUCAGUUGGUUGGAGUGUGGUGCUAAUAAUGCCAAGGUUGUGGGUUCGAUUCCCAAACAGGCCA